AUUGAACGCUGGCGGCAGGCCUAACACAUGCAAGUCGAACGAGUGGCGGACGGGUGAGUAAUGUCUGGGAAACUGCCCGAUGGCGGGGGAUAACUACUGGAAACGGUAGCUAAUACCGCAUACCAUCGGAGGUGCCGCUAUGGGAUUAGCUAGUAGGGGGGGUAACGGCUCACCAAGGCGACGAUCCCUAGCUGGUCUGAGAGGAUGACCAGCCACACUGGAACUGUGACACGGUCCAGACGCCUACGGGAGGCAGCAGUGGGGAAUAUUGCACAAUGGGCGAAAGCCUGAUGCAGCCAUGCCGCGUGUAUGAAGAAGGCCUUCGGGUUGUAAAGUACUUUCAGCGAGGAGGCGUUACGCGCAGAAGAAGCACCGGCUAACUCCGUGCCAGCAGCCGCGGUAAUUC
rnacentral:rRNA from 1 species